rnacentral:misc_RNA from 1 species
AACGCACAUUGCGCUCCUUGGUAUUCCGAGGAGCAUGCCUGUUUGAGUGUCAUUAAAUUCUCAACUCUCUUGCACUUUGUUGUGGAAGAGAGCUUGGAUUGUGGAGGCUUGCUGGCCACUUGCUGGGGUCAGCUCCUCUAAAAUGCAUUAGCGGAACCGUUUGCGAUCUGCCACAAGUGUGAUAAGUUAUCUGCACUGGCGAGGGGAUUGCUCUCUGUAUUGUUCGGCUUCUAAUCGUCUGCGGACAAUCUUUUUUUGAACGCUUGACCUCAAAUCAGGUAGGACUACCCGCUGAACUUAA